rfam:Streptococcus sp. DD13 genomic scaffold scaffold00001, whole genome shotgun sequence.
GUGCGAUGAGUCGAUUGGCAGAUUAUCUGCCCAUUGAAGCAUGGGAGGUCAUAGACGCAGGAGCGGACCUUGGUGAGCUGUGUGAACCAGUUCAUCACAUGAAGAUGCCCCUAGUCCUUAGUUUUUGAACUAAGGACUUUU